UACGUAGGUGACAAGCGUUGUCCGGAUUUACUGGGCGUAAAGAGCGCGCAGGCGGUCGUUCAAGUCGAGUGUGAAAGCCCCCGGCUCAACUGGGGAGGGUCAUUCGAUACUGAUCGACUCGAAGGCAGGAGAGGGUAGUGGAAUUCCCGGUGUAGUGGUGAAAUGCGUAGAUAUCGGGAGGAACACCAGUGGCGAAGGCGGCAUCCUGGACUGGUCCUGACACUCAUGAGCGAAAGCGUGGGGAGCGAUCCGG
rnacentral:rRNA from 1 species